UACGUAGGGUGCGAGCGUUAAUCGGAAUUACUGGGCGUAAAGCGUGCGCAGGCGGUUAUGCAAGACAGAUGUGAAAUCCCCGGGCUCAACCUGGGAACUGCAUUUGUGACUGCAUAGCUGGAGUGCGGCAGAGGGGGAUGGAAUUCCGCGUGUAGCAGUGAAAUGCGUAGAUAUGCGGAGGAACACCGAUGGCGAAGGCAAUCCCCUGGGCCUGCACUGACGCUCAUGCACGAAAGCGUGGGGAGCAAACAGGAUAGACUA
rnacentral:rRNA from 1 species